GGAUACGCUAUUCGGAUCCGCCUCCACAGACGAUGGAUAUAUGUGGAUAUGAUGUCCCUUCUCGUGUUGGUUUGCUUGUCCCCGGAGAAAUUCGCUGGCGCCGCAGCUUUCUUUUUGGAUGAAGCUGUGUACGGCAGAGUUUGCGUGCGGGUGAGAUGCGAAUGGCGUGCGGGAGCGGCGAUAGUGUUUGAUCUGAAGAUGAACGGUGGAUGAAGCGUCCGCAUAAAUGUUUUCUAUGCAUUGGUGGGUUGAGAUGCGAAUGGCGGCCGCUGCCAGGCUUUUAGGCGUGAAUUGCCGGGUUAAUUCGAGGAUUGCGGGUGGGACAAGAUUGGAAUAAUCCUGGAAUCCACCGAUUCGUUAUGACCGUUGGCACGUGCGAGGAAGGCGCGAGGUAGGAGGAAAGGAUCGCUUGUCGGGGGAUGCCUCAGGGUAUCGUAAGAGCAACAAACAGAAUGCAACUGAAAUAUUUGUUUAAGCGCUUUGGUUUAUUGACACGCCUGACCAAAGAAGAGAUUGAUUCAUAUCCGGCACCUUGAUGUGAAUGCUCCUUCUAGAGAUAUGUUUG
rnacentral:lncRNA from 1 species